ACACUCUUGUUAGAAAAUACAUUUCAAUGAAAUAAUUUGCAACCGUAUGAUAGCACAGGGUCAACAGAAUGCCCGUUCUAAAUUAAGUACUUCUUUUCACCUUUUCAAAGGCACCUGCGUCGAGCUGGAUGAGCAUCGUUGGACAUUGUACAAGUGAAUCAAGCCAGAUUCAGACAGUUAUAAGACAGAGGUUUCACACAAGCUCCUCUCUGCUCUGCACCUUCUGGUAACAGAAAUGGCGCCAUGAACACCACAUGCUCUACCGUAUAGAUGGAGGCCAGAAACAAUGCAGGGGUCCUGAGGACAUAGAAGAGAAAACUGAAAAAAAAAAGAAUGGUAGGAAGUGAAGAUUUGAGGGUCUGUGAAAACCAAAUGUUACCUAGAAAACUGAAAAUGUACUCCUUCCUGUAUAUUGCUAGGUAUUAAUUACCCUCUGCAAUAUUG